rnacentral:ribozyme from 11 species
AAAGAAAAUUGUCAGAGAAAAAGAAAAAAAGGCUUAAGAAAAACUCACAUUUUUGGGUAUUGCUUUUAUUUCAAAUGUUUUUACUUUGGCAAAUAUUGUGUCUUUUGGGCUCGUUUGUUUGCACACGGGGCACCCUAAAAAAAA